rfam:Gossypium raimondii chromosome 11, whole genome shotgun sequence.
AUUCCAUGAUGGGGGCAUUUCUGUAUUAAUUCUUUGUACCUUUCCCAUGCCUUAUACAAGAACUCAUCGUCCAUUUGUCAGAAAGCAGUGGUCUCGUUCCUCAACUU